rnacentral:rRNA from 1 species
UUCUUCGGAAUGAAUUUGAUUUAGUUUAGUGGCGGACGGGUGAGUAACGCGUGAGUAACCUGCCUUCAAGAGGGGGAUAACAUUCUGAAAAGAAUGCUAAUACCGCAUGAUAUAUCGGAACCACAUGGUUCUGAUAUCAAAGAUUUUAUCGCUUGAAGAUGGACUCGCGUCCGAUUAGUUAGUUGGUGAGGUAACGGCUCACCAAGACCGCGAUCGGUAGCCGGACUGAGAGGUUGAACGGCCACAUUGGGACUGAGACACGGCCCAGACUCCUACGGGAGGCAGCAGUGGGGGAUAUUGCGCAAUGGGGGCAACCCUGACGCAGCAACGCCGCGUGAAGGAUGAAGGUUUUCGGAUUGUAAACUUCUUUUAUUAAGGACGAAAAAUGACGGUACUUAAUGAAUAAGCUCCGGCUAACUACGUGCCAGCAGCCGCGGUAAUACGUAGGGAGCAAGCGUUGUCCGGAUUUACUGGGUGUAAAGGGUGCGUAGGCGGCUUUGCAAGUCAGAUGUGAAAUCUAUGGGCUCAACCCAUAAACUGCAUUUGAAACUGUAGAGCUUGAGUGAAGUAGAGGCAGGCGGAAUUCCCCGUGUAGCGGUGAAAUGCGUAGAGAUGGGGAGGAACACCAGUGGCGAAGGCGGCCUGCUGGGCUUUAACUGACGCUGAGGCACGAAAGCGUGGGUAGCAAACAGGAUUAGAUACCCUGGUAGUCCACGCUGUAAACGAUGAUUACUAGGUGUGGGGGGUCUGACCCCUUCCGUGCCGGAGUUAACACAAUAAGUAAUCCACCUGGGGAGUA